UUGCGGAAACAGGAUUUGAACCCGUGACCUCAAGGUUAUGAGCCUUGCGAGCUACCAAACUGCUCUACCCAGCG
rnacentral:tRNA from 1 species